rnacentral:rRNA from 1 species
UGCCUAAUACAUGCAAGUCGAGCGAUCAGACGAGGAGCUUACUCCUCUGACGUUAGCGGCGGACGGGUGAGUAACACGUGGAUAACCUACCUAUAAGACUGGGACAACUUCGGGAAACCGGAGCUAAUACCGGAUAACAUGUUGAACCGCAUGGUUCAACAGUGAAAGACGGUCUUGCUGUCACUUAUAGAUGGAUCCGCGUCGCAUUAGCUAGUUGGUAAGGUAACGGCUUACCMAGGCMACGAUGCGUAGCCGACCUGAGAGGGUGAUCGGCCACACUGGAACUGAGACACGGUCCAGACUCCUACGGGAGGCAGCAGUAGGGAAUCUUCCGCAAUGGGCGAAAGCCUGACGGAGCAACGCCGCGUGAGUGAAGAAGGUCUUCGGAUCGUAAAACUCUGUUAUUAGGGAAGAACAAAUGUGUAAGUAACUAUGCACGUCUUGACGGUACCUAAUCAGAAAGCCACGGCUAACUACGUGCCAGCAGCCGCGGUAAUACGUAGGUGGCAAGCGUUAUCCGGAAUUAUUGGGCGUAAAGCGCGCGUAGGCGGUUUUUUAAGUCUGAUGUGAAAGCCCACGGCUCAACCGUGGAGGGUCACUGGAAACUGGAAAACUUGAGUGCAGAAGAGGAAAGUGGAAUUCCAUGUGUAGCGGUGAAAUGCGCAGAGAUAUGGAGGAACACCAGUGGCGAGGGCGACUUUCUGGUCUGUAACUGACGCUGAUGUGCGAAAGCGUGGGGAUCAAACAGGAUUAGAUACCCUGGUAGUCCACGCCGUAAACGAUGAGUGCUAAGUGUUAGGGGGGUUCCGCCCCUUAGUGCUGCAGCUAACGCAUUAAGCACUCCGCUUGG